rnacentral:rRNA from 1 species
UAUCAUUUAGAGGAAGGAGAAGUCGUAACAAGGUUUCCGUAGGUGAACCUGCGGAAGGAUCAUUGUCGAGACCGAAAUCUAUCGAGCGAUUCGGAGAACUCGUGAAAUAAGCAACGGUUGCUGCUGUUGCGGAAUAGCCAUCCCAGUCGUUGUAUCAUCUCCGUUGGGGGGGUGGGGACACGAUGAAGGAUGGAUGAAAAUCAAACCGGCACAGUUUUGUGCCAAGGGAAUAUUGAAAAACAUGAGCCCUACAUUGGGUUUUAGUGGCAUGGAGUGCUGUUGCACGCCAUACAAAAUAACAUGACUCUCGGCAAUGGAUAUCUCGGCUCUCGCAUCGAUGAAGAGCGCAGCGAAAUGCGAUACGUGGUGUGAAUUGCAGAAUCCCGUGAACCAUCGAGAAUUUGAACGCAAGUUGCGCCCGAGGCCAGCCGGCCAAGGGCACGUUCGCCUGGGCGUCAAGCAUUACGUCGCUCCGUGCCAACUCCAUCCUAUGAUUGGGUGGGAACGGUUGAGGCUCGGAUGUGCAGAGUGGCUCAUCGUGCCCAUCGGUGCGGUGGGUUGAAGAGUGGUUAGUCAUCUCAUUGGCCACGAACAACAAGGGGUGGAUGAAAGUUGUGAGCAAGGUCUAUGUUGUCUCGUGUUGGCUCGAGAAAAGAUUGCACCUUUAAGGUGAUCCCAACCCUUGCGUCGAUCCAUAGGCGGCGGCUUGGAAUGCGACCCCAGGAUGGGCGAGGCCACCCGCCGAGUUUAAGCAUAUCAAUAAGC